GACGAACGCUGGCGGCGCGCUUAACACAUGCAAGUCGAACGGAAAGGCCUGCUUUCCCUUGUGGAUUGCGGGUACUCGAGUGGCGAACGGGUGAGUAACACGUGAGUGAUCUGCCCCCAACUUGGGUAUAAGCCUGGGAAACUGGGUCUAAUUCCCGAUAGGACUGCAGGGUGGUGCCUGUGAUGGAAAACGAUUUUCUAGUGGUUGGGGAUGAGCUCGCGGCCUAUCAGCUUGUUGGUGGGGUAAUGGCCUACCAAGGCGGCGACGGGUAGCCGGCCUGAGAGGGUGGACGGCCACAUUGGGACUGAGAUACGGCCCAGACUCCUACGGGAGGCAGCAGUGGGGAAUAUUGCACAAUGGGCGGAAGCCUGAUGCAGCGACGCCGCGUGGGGGAUGACGGCCUUCGGGUUGUAAACUCCUUUCGACCGCGAGGAAGCCACCUGGUUGGAAGGGUGGUGACGGUAGUGGUAGAAGAAGCACCGGCUAACUACGUG
rnacentral:rRNA from 1 species